UACGUAGGGUGCAAGCGUUGUCCGGAAUUAUUGGGCGUAAGGAGCUCGUAGGCGGUCUGUCGCGUCGGCUGUGAAAACCCGGAGCUCAACUCCGGGCCUGCAGUCGAUACGGGCAAACUGGAGUGUUGCAGGGGAGACUGGAAUUCCUGGUGUAGCGGUGAAAUGCGCAGAUAUCAGGAGGAACACCGGUGGCGAAGGCGGGUCUCGUGGGCAACAACGUGACGCUGGAGGAGCGAAAGCGUGGGGAGCGAACAGGA
rnacentral:rRNA from 1 species